UUGUAGCGGAGAGGCAGUAUAAUCCACAAUAUCUCCGCUGGGUAACAGGAACAACAAAGGAUAAUCCAGGGGAAUCAGCAUGCAAUAAUCCAAGUAGCACUGUAGUAAUCUUUCCUUCCCAAGAACUAGACGACACAUAGGCUGGGAGUCAACUGAGGUCUUUAUUCACAGCUCCACAAUUUAUACAAGUCCCCAUGCAAGGGGUUUCCUGAGUCCUAUUCCAGGGGCAUUCCCAGAGUGGACUACAUGGGGAACUUAAUGUACAGAGCUUUUCUCC